rfam:Asian citrus Psyllid, Diaphorina citri - Florida Strain, whole genome shotgun sequence.
GCCUAGUUAGCUUAGUUGGUAGCGCGUCUGCCUUGUAAGCGCCAGGCCACGGGCUCGUUUCCCGUCCGGGGCA